rnacentral:rRNA from 1 species
UACGAAGGGGGCUAGCGUUGCUCGGAAUCACUGGGCGUAAAGCGCACGUAGGCGGCCUGAUAAGUAGGGGGUGAAAUCCUGCGGCUUAACCGCAGGGCUGCCUUCUAAACUGUCAGGCUAGAGCACAGUAGAGGCAGGUGGAAUUCCCGGUGUAGCGGUGGAAUGCGUAGAGAUCGGGAAGAACAUCGGUGGCGAAGGCGGCCAGCUGGGCCAUUGCUGACGCUGAUGCGCGAAAGCGUGGGGAGCAAACAGG